AUUUAACUUAGGUUGGAAAUCCAGGAAUGAACAUAGUAACAUUUAAAUUCUAGGUUAAAUUUGAGCUAGAGCUCUGAUACAAAUUUUCUUUUGUACACUCCUGUUAUCCUUUUUGAGGCAUGUGGUUUGUAGACACUUUGUAUGUGUGGGGUGAGUCAUCGUACAUACGGCAGGUCUGUUUGCAUAUCCAAAAACUUCCCCUAUAACUCAGGGCGUAAUAAAGUUACACCACAAAAGACAAGAGUUGUAUCAUUAUUUGAGAAGUUGCAACUUAGUCUUAAAACUAUGUAUGCAAGUUAGUCUUCUCAAACAAUGCACUUUAAUUUCAAACAAUGCAAUUUCUAUUUUUUUAUACAACUUAAUUAAUCUCAAAUAAUUUUAAAUAAUGCAGCUUAUUCUCAAAUAGCGCAAUUUCUGUUAUUUUAUGCAACUUAAAUUUAAAUAGUUAUAAAUGGUAGAACUUUAAGUUCAAACGGUGCAACGUAAUCUCAAAUAGUGUAACAUAUUUUUCUUCUCUUUCUUCUCUAUUCUUGGUCUUUUCUGUAGUGAUCACGGCACAUAAUGACCUUCUCAAGAUAGAAAAAUAUAUUUUUUCUUUUUUCUCUUUUUUCUUUCUUUCUUCCACCCUCUACAACCUUUUCUACUAAUGCGCCUCCACCUCAACCUCCGCUGCAGCAGCCACCCUCACACUGAUGCACUCUACUUCCCUAUCAUACUCAAAUCUUACGGCACCCUCAACGUCGUCGCCGUCUAUGGUCAUGCAAUAUCCUACAGUCUCACCUCUAUGAUUUUUGUUAUAUCCGAGCCUGCAUUGUCACCAUCGAUGUCGGUGGAGGUGUAGGCGAGAUAGGAGAGAGGAGUACGUGCAUCAUCGAUGUGGGGGUAGUGGAGGAGGAAAAGGGAGAGAAGAGGAAAGGGGAGUAAAAAAAGAAGAAGAAACAACGAAAAGAAGAAAACGAUAAAGUACGAACGAAAUAGAGAAAGAAGAGAAAAAUAUACAAUAACAUAUUUUAAUCAAUUUACUAAAAAUUCUUAUUUUAUUUAUAAAAUUUUAAAAAUAAUAUAUUUUUUUAAAAAAAUAAAUAAAAUAAAUAAAAUUUUUAACACAAAUUAGCCUAAAAAAGAGAAAAA
rnacentral:lncRNA from 1 species